CACGCACGUUUCUUGUACUUUUCCCCUCGCCUGUUUAAACCGCGUUCAUCGAGAUUCUUCCGAUGGCCUACUUCCCCGAAAACCUAAUUCUCCCUCAAUGCCUCCCUAAAACCCUAAAAUUCUCCACACAAAACCUUAAAACCCUAGAUAUCUCUGUAUGUAACAAUGAAGACCAAGCAAUCAAACGAAGAAGAAGAAGAAUUUCAACAACAACAACAACAACAACAACAACAACAAAAGGAACAAUCCCCUACCAGACCAGCUUCUGCAGUUCAAUCUCCGCCAUCUGAUUCUCGAAAGAGACUGCGAGCCAAUUCCUCCCUGCCCUCUGGUUCCGCCACCGCCGCCCCUUCCGUCUCAUCAUCCCGUAAGAAGACCAGAGACCUGCCCAAUCUCUACGAUUGCCACAGCUGUAAAUUCCAUGUCUCCAACAUAGGGAAAGACAAGCUGCGAGCGUUAACCAGCGUGUGGCGUAUUGUUCUCCUUUGCAAGAAAUGCUUCAGCCGCGUCGAGUCCGCUGAGAUUUGCUCUUACUGCUUCUCAGAAACGUCCGCAGAAUCCCUUCGUUGCCGCGAAUGCGCAAGGUGCGUCCACAGGGAUUGUGUUCUGGAGCGUAGAGAUGUUGCUCCCUGGUCGUACUCGUUUUCAAGCUCGGGAAUUUCAGUUUGUGUUGACUGUUGGGUUCCGAAGUUGCUUGCCAAUGCAAAGGGAGUUUCUAGGUCUAGGAAGGUCGGUGGGCAGGAAAAGGAUAUUGGGAAAUCUUCUUUGGUUGCAAAUUCUAGGGAUUUGGAAAAUAGGGAUGGUGGUGUAAGGUUGGAAGAUGUGGUGAAGGAUGCAAAUUGUGUGGCGGAAAAGAAGAUAGCAGAUGCCGCUAGGGCUAAGGAGAACGCAUUGAGGAAAGCAGCGGAUGCUAGGAGGGCAAUGGAGUUGGCUAGCAAUGCUUUGGAAUUUGUAGUCCGGAGAGAUGAGUGUGGGAGGAAUAUGUUCAUUAAUGAUGAGGAAUUGGCUCUUCAGUUGCACAGAGCUAUAAAUGGCUCACGAAGGAUUUCAAGGGACGUGUGCUCGAUGAAUUUGACUUGUUUUACCAUUCCGACAAGACGUGAAUGUGAUGAUGAUAUUGUGUCAGUUAGAAUGUUCAACUCUGGGAGUCCUAGUGUGUGUGGAAAGCUUGAAGUCUGCACUGACAAUAAGUUAGUUGGGAAUCCAGAUCGAAGUAUUUCAGAACCUUCAGUUCACAUUAGGGUUUCAUGUGAAGAUUCUAAUGUUCAGUUCAACAAAGUGAAACCAGAUGGAGUGGUUGAUGUGAGGACUGGUACAAGAGAUGGUGAGUGUCAAGGAACAUGUGAUAAUCGAGAUGAUAAAGAGGAAAUGCCAUUGAAAGAGGGAGAGGGAAGUUGUUCAAAUAAGUUGAUUGUAUCAAGUGCUGGGGACAAUAGCACAGAAUCAGAGUCUCAUUCUUGUCAGAAAAAAGAUGAGUUAAGGGCUGAUAUGGGUCCAAGUGAGUUUGGGACCAAUGGUCAAUUGAAGUAUGGUGAAGAUGCAGGUUUGUUAAAGGAUGAAAAAUGUGGAAAGCCUGAUCGCUAUUUAAGGAAGUAUAGUAAAAGAUCUAUAAGCUUGAAAGCAGUUUCACAUUCUUCAACCAAGUUCAUUUAUGAAGGUUUUCACCUUGAAAGUCAGGCUUCAGCCCCUGGGGUACCUUUGAAGUGUUCCAAGGCAUGUCAAGUGUUCUCUGAUGCAUCAUUUCGGUCUGGUGCUGUUCCUUUGCAAGCUUCUGCUUGUGCAAGUGUUUCAUCUCAAGACUAGUCUUGGAGCUAGCAGGACCUCCAUGAGAUCGAGCUUAGAGAGCUCGAGUUGUUUGUAGCAUUUUUGGGAUAUAGAAAAGAAAGGGUAUAUACUUGGCUGAUAUUUUGGGUUGUCAACAAAAAUUCGAGCUGAAGAUGAAGCGAUAUUACCUGUGGACCCUCAAUGUGCUGGUCUCACUGACCAUGUAUGUGGUACGCCAACUUGCUGAACCACAAGAUGCGUGGUCUGAUUUUUCCUAGACGUUCUUUCAGGAACUGCUCUAAAAUUGUUCUUGAUCUGUGCCAGUGCCUACUGCUCCAGCCACCAGCACCUCGCAGCUGCACAUACACCGGUGCACCCACCCACUCACCCUCUCUCUCUCUCUCUCUCUCUCUCUCUCAAGUUGUGAUAUUAUGUUUCUUAAUUACUAUCAUCUCAAAACUGAUAUUUGUUAUUGACCAAAAAUCACUGGCUGUGUGAGAAGGUUGUCAUUGUUUGGGUGCAAUUCUUUCCGCUUGCCUCACCCAAAGCUGGUGCUGCUUCUUUCCGAGGUUAAGGAAUCACAAACCUAACAGCUUCUGCUCUCCUUCUCUGCAGUGUGGCCUUAAACAGCGCAUGCAGCAAUUUUCUCUCAACAAAGUCAGUCUUUGGCAUGCUGCCUAAUGUUUCAGCUGCCUCCCUUUGGGAAGCUGGGUUUUCAGGUUUCGGGGAUGGUUCAUAUUUUGUCAUGGGCCACGUUUGUAAUGCAACCUCUUCCCUUUGCCAACCCUCCCACAAACUGUUUGUUUUGUUGGCAUUUAAUGUCCGUGCAAGGGAUGCGAAAUAAAUCAGAUUGAUUUUUCGUUCAAAA